rnacentral:rRNA from 1 species
UAGGGAAUCUUCCGCAAUGGACGCAAGUCUGACGGAGCAACGCCGCGUGAGUGAAGAAGGAUUUCGGUUCGUAAAACUCUGUUGUUAGAGAAGAACAGCGCAUAGAGUAACUGUUAUGCGUGUGACGGUAUCUAACCAGAAAGCCACGGCUAACUACGUGCCAGCAGCCGCGGUAAUACGUAGGUGGCAAGCGUUGUCCGGAUUUAUUGGGCGUAGAGCGAGCGCAGGCGGUCAAUUAAGUCUGAUGUGAAAGCCCCCGGCUCAACCGGGGAGGGUCAUUGGAAACUGGUUGACUUGAGUGCAGAAGAGGAGAGUGGAAUUCCAUGUGUAGCGGUGAAAUGCGUAGAUAUAUGGAGGAACACCAGUGGCGAAGGCGACUCUCUGGUCUGUAACUGACGCUGAGGCUCGAAAGCGUGGGUAGCAAACAGG